UACGUAGGGUGCGAGCGUUGCCCGGAUUUAUUGGGCGUAAAGGGCGCGUAGGCGGCCACGCACGUCCGUUGUGAAAUCGCCCGGCUCAACUGGGCGGGGUCAGCGGAUACGGUGUGGCUAGAGCAAGCUAGGGGGCAAUGGAAUUCCCGGUGUAGUGGUGGAAUGCGUAGAUAUCGGGAGGAACACCAGUGGCGAAGGCGGCAUCCUGGACCGGUAUUGACGCUGAGUGAGCGAAAGCCAGGGGAGCAAACGGG
rnacentral:rRNA from 1 species